GCCCCUGGUGGCUCGGAGGACUAGCAGAGGGCGCUGUCGGCUUGUCCCCGGCCAGCACCAGUGCCUAACGCCAGCAAAGUACACGUGGCAUGGGCGGGGAAGGUGGCUCCUCGGCGUCCGUCCCACAGCAUCCAAAGAGCACAAGUGACCUAAGCGGUUCGGAAAGUACAAACGCUAGAAACAGCCAAAGGAUAGAAAUUGUUCACUCAGCAGAUCAACAAGCCCCCACGAGGAAAGUGGCCAUUAGACAGCUCUCCUUCUCCAGCGGCCUCCGCCCGGGAACCACUGCCCACCGGCUCGGAGUCAGGCUAACUGGCAGGAAGAUGGACCUGAAGCGGGCUCAGUCUCAACUCCGUCUGCCCUGUGACCUCAGCCUGUCUGCACUUCACAACGAGUUCCAGGCCAGUUCUGUCCUGUGCGCCCCAAUUCUGACCCUUUGUUCAAGCUGUUCCCUUCCAAAUGCCCAUUUCCCAACGAGGCAUUACCCCAGCCCCAAACCAUGCUCCAGGCUUGUCCACUCCAGCCCUGCAGUCGUCACAGAAUGUGUGCAGCGUGUAAUCCUGCAUAUUGCUGUAACCACACACACAUACACACACACACACACACACACGUAGGUAGGAACCUAUGUACAGAUUUGUCUCUGUCAUACCUCGUCUCUGCUCUUGAACAACCCCUUACCCACCUGGAAACAUCUGUUAAUUUGUUGGCCAUUGCUUUUUAGUCUUUUGAUCUGACCUUUUUUCAGCCAGCCUCACUUGUUUUUCAGGCUCCUUUGCUUUAUUUUCAAACUCAAAUACGUCCAUCUCAAGCCACCCCGACAGUGAGUGUGUGCACCUAUCGCUGGCCCAGAAGCUCAGCCAGGUCACCUUCUGGGGUCUGCCCUGGCCAGCUGAGGGUGCCUGGCUCUGCUCCCCACUGAGUGCUGCUGUGUACUGCUCUCCAGAGUGCCGUGUUUCGGAGCAUCCCUAAGGUCCCCAUGCCUCCCCAUCCUGGGCAUGCAUCUGACAAGAUCAGAGCUCACUUUCAGUCCCCAUGGCCAUCCUUUCAGACAAGGGGCACGUGCCAGUUAUGUGGUUUUUGUACUUCUUUGAAUUAAAAAUGCAAGCACGAGGAUUCUGGCCACAUCCCCAUCUGCCAGUGCCCUUUAACAGGCGGACUCUGGAUUGCUCCCCAGUGGUUUGUUCUUCUAGAGUGGGCAGACAGAUUAAUGGGUCUCCUAGCUCAAGGAUGUUCAGCCUCGUAGGAAGGAGGGUAAUGGGGCUGCUUUUCUUCUCUGACACCUUGCAGUAGGACAAGAGUGGGUGGGGAGGUAGCUCGCCUUAUGGUCCUCAGCCAGCCUGACCAAGCCCUGUGUUCAGUUCUACACAGAAAAUAAAUAAGCCAGCGAACAACAGCAGGGUAGGGAUGGACAUGUACUGAGCAGGACAAUAGCUUUGAGACCUUGGACAGGCAGUUUUUAAGGAAAACCAUUGAAUAUGUUGGAAGCAUGACCUGAACUGAAGGCGCAGGUCUGAGCAGCCUGGCUCUGUUCUAGUCCUGCAUGGAGACAGGAUGCAUCUGCAGUUGAAUCAAGUGAAUCAAGCAGCCUCUUUUGGGGGCCUUUCAGAUGCAGUGGGAAGGAGACAGGUAGAGUGGGGCCCCACCCUUCCUGCAGUGCAGCUUUCUAGGUUUUGGGGCACAGGCUUAUCAUGGGUCCUGGGUCCUGCUGUUCCUUCCUGCCUGCCUGUUAAUAUGCAUACUUCACAGAACCUGUGCACACACGCAUGGGUUCUGCCCCUUCAUACCAGGCGUGGAAGUGGUAACCAAUGCAAGGCAAACCCAUUUUGUGUUUAUAGUUAUUGCCAAGGAGCAGCUGCUUCUUAUACUUUCAAGAGGUACAGUCAGUGUCUGCUGCUCUAUCCCACGCCCCAGAAUGACAGGAGAGCCGUGCUGCUGCGUGUCUUGUGCUGUAGACACAUUCUUUCCAAUAUGCAACAUGCCCUCACUCUGCAAAAGUUUCUUAGAGUGUCGCCUGAAAAGAGGAGAAAAUGUGGCCCUUUCUGAAUUUGGGGAGUUCAGAUUAUAAAAUUUGGACUUCUUCAAAAACACUUCAACUUCACUCCUCACCUCCAUUUGACCAAGGACAGAAAAAUAUCCAGAGAUGUAGCCUCAGGAAGGUACGGAGGCCCCAGUGUUAUGGGGACAGUGUUGGACUUGCUUUUCCAUUAUGACAUGCUCCGCAUUCAUGUGCUCCUCCCUUUGGAGGCUAGGGGGAGACAUCGGUCUUUACAGCACAGAAAAUCACCGAAGAGAUGAACAGACCAGCACGAUCUGCCAUGCCUCCCACACACCUGUGGCUGUCACUUGGGCACAGCACUGUGGAGGUCGGGGCUGGCAUCACAGUCCAUGGCCAGGCCAGGAGGUUGCCCAGGACUGGGUAGGCCUCACUGCUGGAUGGCUCUGCUGGUUGCUGUGACUUCCGGGGCUGCCUUGGACUGCUCCCUGACUGCUCCCUGCCUGCUCUCCACUGCUGCAAACACUGCGUGCAGGAUGUAGUUUCUACUCGCCAACUAUCAACACCCUGACCAGCAUUGUACAAUUCCAGCUGCUGUCUUGUCAGAAGUCUCAGGAGGGCUGGCUCUGUGUGCGCUGUGCUCUACAUGCUGUGGGUUUCGAAAAAGGCACAAUGCCAUGUUCACUGCCGGAGUCAUAGAUGAGCUUUGCACCCUGAAAAUCCUCUCUGCUCCUCCAAGAGACCUGAUAACCACUAGUCCUUUCCCUGUCUCCACAGCUUUGCCUUUUGCAUGUGCUGACAGGUGGAAUCCUACAGCAGCCCGCUUUCCACAUUGAUCGCCCUCUUCCGUACCACUAUGCCCAAAGGCUGUUCGUGUCCCUUAACACUUUCACACCUCAUUUCUUUUUAGUGACACAUUCUCAUCAUUAAGUAUGUAGUUUGGGCUCCUUUAGCCCAUUGAUAGAAUGAGUUCCAUUAGUUGACUUUUGAAUGUUGACCCAAACUUGCCUACCUGGGCUAAAUCCCACUUGGUCACUGUGCAUUCUUUUCAAGCCGUUGGAGUUGAUUUGCUGAGGUAUUUUUGAAGCCUUUUGCAUCUCUAUUUCUGAACAUAAAGAGAUCAGUCUUCAGUUUUCUUUUCUUGCAGUGUCCUAUUGCUCUUGGUGUAGGAGAAAUGCCAGCCUCGUUAGAUGCAUAGAAAGUAUUCUCUGUUUCUAUCUUCUGCACAAGAUUGUGAGGAAUUGGUAUAAUCUGUUUCUUAGAGGUCUGAUAGAAUUCACCAUUGUACCCAGCUUGGCUGGGUGCUUUCUAUUUGGGAAAGUUAUUAACUGAUUCAACUUCUUUAAUAGAGAUACAGGCCAAUUCAAAUGGUUUUGUCCUUGUGUUUUAGUUUUGGCAGAUUGUGUCUUUCAAGGAAUUGGCCCAUUUCAUCUUUCUCCAUCUUAAUUUAUGUUUAGUCUGUAAGUUGUUUAGAUCUGUGGGCCUGGAGUUGCUCAUAGAAUCCCAUUAUUCAUGGAACCUAUAGAGAUGGCCUCUCUUUCAUUCCGAUUCUAGUAAUUUCUUUCUUCUCCAUUGUUUUCCUUGGUCAGCCUGGCCAGAGGCUUAUUAAUUUUACUAGUGUUUUCAUAGAACCAGCCUUUUUUUUUUUUUUUUUGGUACUGGGGAUUGAANNNNNNNNNNNNNNNNNNNNNNNNNNNNNNNNNNNNNNNNNNNNNNNNNNNNNNNNNNNUUGUUUUGGUUGGGGAUUGAACUCGGGUCUUUGCGCUUGCAAGGCAGGCCACCAAACUGCUGAACUAAAUCCCCAGCCCUUAGAACCAGCUUUUGUUUGUUGAUUUUCUCUACCAGUUUUCCAUAUUUGAUUUUAUUGAUUUCUGGUCUAAUAUCUAUUAUUUCUUCUCUUAUGCUUUAGAUUUAGUUUGCUCUUUUUAGAGUUCUUAACCAUAAUUAUUGACUUUAGAUCUUUCUUCCUUUCUACUAUAUGCAUUAAAAGAUAUAAAUUUCACAUGAAGUUUUUGCUACAUU
rnacentral:lncRNA from 1 species